CACUAUACCCCGUUGCACAGAAAAAUCAAAAUAAAAAGAAAAUGGAGGGAAAUCAACGGAUCUCCACAAAACACAACCAUCAUUUACUUCAAAAAAUCAAAGAUUUCACCACAUCGUUGGUUAGAGACAUUACCGACGGAAAAUCCCCCGCCAUUUCCAUCGAUAAAUUCAGGAAUUACUGCAUUAAACCCGAUACUAACUGUUUCUGCUUAUCUGAUUUGCCGAAAGGACAAGAAAUUCUCACAUUAAGAAAAGAAUGCAAUUCUCGAAGAAUCGAUGUGUUGCUUAGAGUGCUGGUCAUUGUUCAACAGCUUUUACAAGAGAAUAAACAUGCUUCCAAAAGGGAUAUUUAUUAUAUGCAUCCUUCUGUAUUCUCAGAUCAGUCAGUUGUAGACCAGGCAAUCAAUGACUCAUGUAUCCUUCUUCAGUGCAGCCGUCACAAUUUAAAUGUGGUUUCUGUUGGAAAUGGGUUGGUUAUGGGUUGGCUGCGGUUUUUGGAAGCUGGACGGAAAUUUGAUUGCAUAAAUAAUCCCAGCAAUGUGCAUCCCAUUCCUGUUCAUGUUGAGGAAGUUGAAGAUAUUGUUAGUGUUGCCAAAUACAUACUAGUUGUGGAGAAGGAAUCAGUGUUCCAGCGGUUAGCAAAUGACCGGUUUUGUAAUGCAAACCGCUGUAUUGUCAUCACUGGACGAGGCUAUCCAGAUAUUCCCACAAGAAGGUUCUUGCGGCUUCUGCAUGAAAAUUUGUGUUUGCCUAUCUACUGCUUGGUUGAUUGUGAUCCAUAUGGGUUUGACAUCCUGACUACCUAUCGGUUCGGUUCCAUGCAAAUGGCCUAUGAUGCUAAAUUUCUGCGUGUCCCUGAAAUACGCUGGCUUGGAGUUUUCCCUUCCGAUCUUGAGAAAUAUGACCUUCCCAAGCAGUGUCUGCUUCCUUUGACAGCUGAAGAUAAGAGGAGAACUGAGACCACGUUACUAAGAUGCUACCUGCAAAGGGAAGAACCAGAAUGGAGGUUGGAAUUGGAGUUAAUGCUGCAAAGAGGAGUGAAAUUUGAGAUUGAAGCGUUAUCUGUGCAUUCGCUUUCCUUCCUGUCAGAGCAGUAUAUACCAUCUAAGAUUCAAGGUUUUAUUUGGCAUGUGGAGGAAUGUAGUGGGUAGGAAUUAAGUAGAGAUCAUUUUUCCUCUUCACAACAGAACCAAAAACUUCAUCCAUGUCUAGAGUUUCUGGUUUCACUCCAGAUGGAAGUUGCCAAUCAAAAUGGUAUAGCAACUGUGCAAGUAGAAACUUGACAUUAGAUAUGCCGAACAAUAAUCCUGGACACAUCCUUCUUCCAGCACCAAAUGGUAGAAAUUCAAAAUCUGUCCCUUUAUAAUCAAUGGAGCAAUCAUGGAAUCUCUCGGGAUGGAAUUUCUCAGCUUGCGGCCAGUAAUUGGGAUCCCUUCCAAUUGCCCACGCAUUCACAAUUACCCUGGAUUUGACUGGAAUGUCAUAACCAUUAAUCACACAGCUCUCUCCACAUUCUCUUGGCAGUAACAAUGGAACAGGAGCGUGUAGUCGAAGAGUUUCUUUGAUGACCAACUUUAAGUAGUUGAGCUCAUGGAUUGGUUCGUGAACAUCUCCUUCUGUUGCAAAAACCCUCCUCACCUCUUGUUGUGCCUUUUCCAUCACUCUUGGAUUUUUCAGCAUCUCAGACAUUGCCCAUUCUACUGUUGUAGCUGACGUGUCACUACCGGCAAUAAACAUGUCCUGAAGGAUAUCAAGGUCUCCUUGCUCCUGACAAUUAAGGAGGGCAUCGACAAAAUCUUCAUCAUCAUAAGCGUGCGACUGUUCUUGUACCCUUUUAUUUCUGUGAUCAUCAAUGAUACUUUGGUAUAUGCUAUCUGCUGUUUGAUGAAGUUUCUUAAGCCUACGCACCAUUCUGCUGAACUUGUGAAGCCAUUUUAUGGAAGGAUACACAUCAGCAAGAGCAAAACCUCCAGAAUCUUGUAUCAGUUGCUUUGCAGUUGGUAUGAAAAUAUCUUCUCCAUUCCAUAUCUUACCAAAUGCUGCUCUUGAAAUGAUGCGAUAGGUCACAGCACUGAGCAUCUUGCUAAAGUUGAUUGGUGAUCCUGCUGCACCUGACGACAAGGAUCUGAUAACUUUUGAUACUUCUUCUUCUCUAAUUGAACUGAAUGACUGCACACGUUUCGCUGUUAAUAGCUCGAGCAUGCAAAUUUUUCGCAUCUGUCUCCAAUAAUCACCGUAAGGUGCAAAGGCAAUGUCUGUGAAAUUAUAAGUUGCAACACUGGCAGCAGCCAGAUAAGGCCUAUGAGCAAAGAUGACAUCAUGGGUUUUCAUCACUUGUUUAGCCAUUUCGGGCGUAGAAACGACGACAUUAGUUAUCUCACCCAGCUGAAGAUGCAUAAGAGGUCCAUACUUGUUGGCUAAGUUUCUCAGUUGGCGAUGGGGUAAAGAGCCAGUUAAAUGGUGCAUGCUUCCUAUUAUAGGGAGCUUCCAUGGUCCUGGUGGAAGAUUUGGAAUUGAGCUGUUGGUUUUUGAUUUCUUCCAUAUUCUCUGUACCAUAAACAUGAAGAGGAAGAAGGUGCAAAGGAUAGGGAGGAAAAAGACUUGGUGUUCCAUGGCAAACACUGAUUUCUCAAAAGAAGAGAUAAUGGAGAAAUUGCGGUUUAUCUAUAUAUUGAGGUUGUUAUUGUGUUGGCUGCAGUUUCUGGAAGAUGGAAGGAAAUUUGAUUGCAUAAAUAGUCCCAGCAAUGAGUGGCUAAACUUCAUUAUAUUUCAAGAAACAUUAAUAGUUUUUUAUUUGGCAAGCGGAGGAAUAUAUGGCGUAGGAUGUAAAUGGAGUUCAUUUUUCCUCUUUACUACAACGCCAAAAACUUCAUCCAUGUCCAGAGUUUCUGGUUUCACUCCAUUGGGUAGUUUCCAAUCGAAAUGGUAUAGCAACUGUGCAAGUGGAAACUCGACAUUAGAUAUGCCAAACGAUACUCCUGCACACAUCCUUCUUCCAGCACCAAAAGGGAGAAGUUCAAAAUCCGCUCCCUUAUAAUCGAUGGAGCAAUCCUGGAAUCUCUCUGGAUAGAAUUUGUCAGGUUCCACCCAGUAAUUGGGAUCUCUUCCAAUGGCCCAUGCGUUCACAAUUACUUGGGAUUUGAUUGGAAUGUCAUAACCAUUAAUCACACAGUUCUCUCUGCAUUCUCUUGGGACUAAUAAUGGAAGAGGAGGGUGUAAUCUUAGCGUUUCUUUGAUGACCAAUUUCAAGUAGUUGAGUUCCUGAAUGCGGGCUUCGUCCACAUUUCCAUCUUUAUCAAAGACUCUCCUCACCUCUUGUUGUGCCUUUUCCAUCACUCUGGUAUUUUUUAGAAGCUCAGACAUUGCCCAUUCUACUGUUGUGGAUGAUGUCUCGCUACCGGCUGAGAAAAUGUCCUGAAGUAAGAAAUAUUGUGCAAAUUAGAUACCAUACAGAUUUUUAUUUGUGAACUAAAGAUGAAGGUAAAUUGGUGUUGUAAGUACUGACCAAAAUGACUGCUUUUACGUUGUCGUCUGUUAAAGGGAUGUCAAGCUCUCCUUGCUCCUGAUAGUUGAGAAGGACAUCUACAAAAUCUUCUUUAACAUAAGCAUGUGAUUUUGCUUCUGCCCUUUCAGCUCUGUGGUCAUCAAUGAUGUUUUGGCAAAUGUUAUCUAAUUGCUGAUGAAUCCUUUGAAGUCUAGGCACCGUUCCGCUGAACCAGUGGAACAAUUUGACGGAAGGAUACACAUCAACGAGAGAAAAACCUCCACAUGCUUCUAACGCUUUCUUGACAAUUGGUAUGAAGAUUUCUUCUCCCUUCCAUAUCUUGCCAAAUGCUGCUCUUGAAAUGAUGCUAUAGGUCAAAGCACUGAACACCUUGCUAAAGUUGAUCGGUGAUCCUGCUGCACUUGAAGACAAGGAUCUCAUAAGUUUUGAUACUUCUUCUUCCCUUAUAGAUCUGAACGACUCCACGCGUUUUGCGGUUUAUAGCUCGAGUGUGCAGAUUUUUCGCAUCUGUCUCCAAUAAUCUCCGUAUGGCGCAAAUCCGAUGUUUUUGUAAUUAUAAGUUAUAACACUUACAGCAAGGACACAGGGCCUUUGCGCGAAGAUGAUAUCAUGUGUUUUCAUCACUUGUUUAGCCAUUUCUGGCGAAGAAACGACGACAUUACUAAGCUCGCCGAGCUGAAGAUGCAUAAGAGGUCCAUACUUGGUGGCCAAGUCUCUAAGGCGGCGAUGGGGUAGAGAGCCAGCUAAAUGGUGCAUGCUUCCUAUUAUAGGUAACUUCCAUGGACCUGGUGGAAGAUUUGGAACUGAGUUGCUGAUUUUUGAUUUCUUCCAUAUCCUCAAUACCAUAAAGAUGAAGAGGAAGAAGGUCAAAAGGACUGGAAUGCAAGAAAAUUGGUAUUCCAUGGCAAAGAAAGUGAUUUCUCUAGAAAAUAAGACUUAAUGGGACAAAUUGGAGAUAUAUUGAGGUCAGUGAAUGCACAGAUACUCUUUAUUGUUGCUUGCUUAGUUAGUCAUUUGAUUAAACAAGUGCAUAAGUGAGCAUGAUCUCAUUAUAAUAAUCCUUUCAAUAGGCUGUAGAUCAUGCAUUAAUAGUUGAAUUUAAAACACAUUUAUCAUAAAAUAGUCUUAAGGCAGAAAAAUAUAAAUGGUGGCAGCUGGCUCUCGAAUGAAGAAACAUUUAGAAAAUAUGCUGUAGACUAGUUGAACAUGUGAUAGUGAAAUAAAAUAAGCUUAUUAUGAGUGCUAAUGUAUCACUCUUUUGGGAUUUCAAAUAAAAAGCUUAUUAUAAGUGAUAAUAGUGAAAUAAAAUAAACUUAUACCGUCUCUUUUAAAGUGACAUUUAAGUUCUACGCAUAUAUUAAAGAAAUUAAUAAUUAGUCUUUUUUUUAAA